UUAGAGCUAUGGGAACAUGUAUUUUAGUAGAAGUUUAGUAUUAGGUAGCUUUGGUUUGUUGCAAGGUAGUUGCUACAAGUUAAUUGUUUACUGGUUAUAGCUAGCACAUAGUGCCAUUUUUGUUUAUUACUAUCUCAGAUAUCACGCUUCAAUAUUACUUGGCUAAUUGAGUUUUUGCUAUGCUGUUUUGUAUUUAUGAUUAUUGUUAUAUCGUUGUUUUUCUCUCGAGUUAAGUUUCAAUUGUUUCGUUUACUUAUCGGUAACUAAUUACCAUAGUAACGUCUAGAACCUCUAGUCGUUAACAUUUAUUUUUGACAUUGUAAUGACAAACGUCAAUUUAAUUUGAAAUCAAAUUUUAACUGAGGUAAUCCUGCCGACAGUUAUAAUCUUUACUCUCUAAUUACAACGAAGAAAGUAGAACUAGCAUGAAUCAGAUGCAUUUAGUGCUCAACAGGGAACAGCAGGAGGCUCGCAAGAGAGAAACUGAAAAAUACAUUCAGGUUCUAAUUCAUAGUAUCUAUUGCCUCAAUUUUGCUUGCCCUGAAGACGGAUGCUUGGAAAUGAAGGCGUUGCUCUUGCACGUGCAGUUAUGCAAAACUACCUCGAGCGUAAUCAAAUGUGAGAGGUGCAAGAAAUACUACCAAAAGGUAUAUUAUCAUUCCAAAGAUUGCACGCAUUCCUUGUGCAUUGUGCGGUAUUGCAUGGAGAUCAAGCAAAGUGCCAGAAAGAAAUUGGUUUUAGAGGAAUUGAAGGACGAAUUUAAACGCAGAACUGGAGAAACCCCAAUCAAAUUGAAUAUUACAAUGACCCUAGUGUAAGCGUCAGGAGGGAUCGUCUAUCAACUAUGUUAUCAUGUUAUCACGUUUUUUGCUUGUGAGAGCAAAUACAAUUUAUGUUAUGAUGUUA